AUUGAACGCUGGCGGCAGGCUUAACACAUGCAAGUCGAGCGGAGUGAUGGUGCUUGCACUAUUACUUAGCGGCGGACGGGUGAGUAAUGCUUAGGAAUCUGCCAUUUAGUGGGGGACAACAUUCCGAAAGGAAUGCUAAUACCGCAUACGUCCUACGGGAGAAAGCAGGGGAUCUUCGGACCUUGCGCUAAAUGAUGAGCCUAAGUCGGAUUAGCUAGUUGGUGGGGUAAAGGCCUACCAAGGCGACGAUCUGUAGCGGGUCUGAGAGGAUGAUCCGCCACACUGGGACUGAGACACGGCCCAGACGCCUACGGGAGGCAGCAGUGGGGAAUAUUGGACAAUGGGCGGAAGCCUGAUCCAGCCAUGCCGCGUGUGUGAAGAAGGCCUUCGGGUUGUAAAGGACUUUUGUCCGGGAGCAAAUGCUGGUGGCUAACAUCCACCGGAGCUGAGAGUACCGGAAGAAUAAGCACCGGCUGACUACGUGCCAGCAGCCGCAGUAAUAC
rnacentral:rRNA from 1 species